rnacentral:rRNA from 1 species
AGGAGACAGGUGGUGCAUGGUUGUCGUCAGCUCGUGUCGUGAGAUGUUGGGUUAAGUCCCGCAACGAGCGCAACCCUUAUAUUUAGUUGCCAGCAUUUCGGAUGGGCACUCUAGAUAGACUGCCGGUGACAAACCGGAGGAAGGUGGGGAUGACGUCAAAUCAUCAUGCCCCUUAUGACCUGGGCUACACACGUACUACAAUGGCCGGUACAACGGGCUGCGAAAUCGCGAGAUGGAGCCAAUCCCAACAAAGCCGGUCUCAGUUCGGAUUGCAGGCUGCAACUCGCCUGCAUGAAGUCGGAAUUGCUAGUAAUCGCGGAUCAGCAUGCCGCGGUGAAUACGUUCCCGGGUCUUGUACACACCGCCCGUCACACCACGAGAGUUUAUAACACCCGAAGUCGGUGGGGUAACCGCAAGGAGCCAGCCGCCGAAGGUGGGAUAGAUGAUUGGGGUGAAGUCGUAACAAGGUAGCCGUAUCGGAAGGUGCGGCUGGAUCACCUCCUUU